rnacentral:lncRNA from 1 species
GCCCCCCCCCCCCCCCCCCCCCCCCCCCCCCCCCCCCCCCCCCCCCCCCCCCUCGGAGGGUGUGGGGAUGGGACAUGAUAAAGCACCUUUUUGGAUAAAUUUGCCCCUAUCUCUCUCCAUUCUCAUCCCUUCCUUCAUCUCUUGAUUUAACGAUCAUCAGUCAUUAAGGAGCGACCCAAAGAUAAUAUAUAUGACAUGAUAUCAUCCAUGAUUAUUUGACUAUGAUUACAUCUUUAUUACAUCACAUAUUACUAUAUUCUUUUUUUUCUAGCGGUCGGGCACCGUUCGAACAAUGUGUCAUUUAAAACAUACUUUUCUAAAGUAAUUAUUUUUUAUAAUUCAUGACACAUUUAAAACAUAGCUUGUAUUUAAUCAUAAAAUAUCAUCAUAUUUAAUCAAUCAAAACAUAUAUGCUUCAAUCGUAAAACUUUUAUUUUUAAGUAAAUAAAACAUAACAAGAUUCACCUUCUGAUUAUCUCACGUUCUUUCUUUCCGUGAUCGUUCUUAAACUAAAGCAAAGGUCACUCGGGUUCCGAUCCUAUAAUUAAAAAUUAUGAAUUUAGUAUUAUUUCUUUAAUUGUCCAUUUAUUUAUCUUAUUUGUCUAAUUGAAUUACUAUUUAGUAUACCUAAUCUAAUAGUAGUAAGAGUGUAUAAGGUAUCGGGAGUGACUUAGGUACUAGACAAAUCAAUUGAGUUUUAAAUUUGUAAAAGUUCUUGGAGUUCAACCGAUUGGGAAUACUGUCAACCAAUUAAAGAAAAGUUCUACUAGUCGAGAAAAUAGUUCGAUCGGUCGAGAAAAAAGUUCUACCAGUCGAAGAAAAAAUAGUACGUUCACUGAAAAUCUUCUACCGAAUGAAAAAAAGUUGAACCAUACCAAAUGAAAAAAACAGAAUAUUGGUUUUCCUGGCUUUAAUUCCAAGUAUGUUUUGAGCUACUAAAUCAGAACUCUAAAUCAGAAGAAUGUAUUGAAAUAAUUUUCAUACGCAACUCGAAUCAAAUUAAAAGGUUAUUGUAUUAAGUACUUACACUCAAAAUACUAACUGAUUGUUUUGACGAAAAAUAUGACAUAGUUUUUAAUUGGAUUUCAAUCCUACAACAACGUAUACGUAACAUAUUCCUGACGUAUUGUCAAACUUUAACCAUUAUAGGGUUAUUACUAAUAUUUCAAUUGUUCAUCACUCUGUUUAGUGAAAGAAAAUUAUAAAACGAUAGAAAAAAACAAGGUUUUACCUAAAUUCGGAGAAAAAUCGAGUUAUAUUAUUCACUUCUCCUUCUCUCUUUCUCUUCUCCUUUCUCUUUCUUUAUCUAGUUUUCUCUCCCUUUCCCUCUUUCUUUCUUUUUCUUUAUAUCUUUCGCUCUUUCCUGCACACAUAAGUUUCUAACAUGCAUAUGCUGGGGACAAAAUUGUGUGUGUAUUGUUUAACUUUGGAUGAUUAGGUGAGUGAGUCACCCGGUGACUCAUAGCCACGAGUCACCAAGUCAUUAAUGGCUUGUGGUGACUCAUAGUGGUGAGUCACCCCAACCAUGUGACCCUCAUGGUGCCACAUGGUUCCAUCAUUCAAGCUUGACACGUGUCUCCUUUUUCAUUCAGUUUAUCAAAAAAUCAUAUUCGGGUAUAAUUUAUGUUAUUGUAAAAAUUCUAAAAAAAUUUAAAUUGCUACUGAUGUAUUUACAUAUUUACCCUUACUACAAUAAAAUAAAAUUAAUUUACAGGUCAGGAUAUUACAAUUCAGGCCUAAAAACGGCUUCAACAAAUCCAUAAAAAUAUGGAGAACAAAGCACAGCCAGCUUCCAUUUUUUAGUUUGUUGGGAGGUAAAUUAGACUCAUUUUUAAUUUUACCAAUUGGCCAGCCCACUUCCUUAGGGAUGUGUUUUGGAAGGCUAUAAAAUAUCCAAAGGACUAAAAAAUGCAUCACUUUUUCAGACUAAAAUCCAUUGGACAAUGAGCUGAUUGUCCUUAAUGCCUUUUUUAAUCAAUGGUUGCACUUCUGGAUCAUGUCUCAUCUUAAUAGGUGUUAAAAUGUUAAUAGUUGAGUACAAAGCAAGUUUUGACAGUUCGUUCAAUUAGUUUGGAGAUCUGUAAUAAUGUUGAACUUUACCAUUUAAAGAAAAAUUGCAUUCCUUAUUUGGCAUGACUUGUAUAACUAUUUUAAAAAAUAUUUCCAUACAUUUAAUACCCUAAACAGGUGUCUAAACAGGUGUCAACACUUGACACUUGAUUAACCCUAUCCUCUAUAUAUUGCAGCUCCAUCUUCCUCAUUUACUCAUCACUAACAAGCUAAACACUUCCAUAUACACACAAACCUUCUUGAAAGACACUUACCUUCUCUUAUGCUUGUAUUCCUCUUUCAGAAACUCUGAACAUCUCUUUACUCAAUAAGCAUUCCUCCACCAUAAAUAUACACUUGACCACAUUAUAAAUAUUGUUUUACUCAGAAAUUGUAAGUUGUCUAGAUUUUAUUAUUCAUUGUCUCUGGGACAUAGACUGCUAUAAUUCCC